rfam:Schistosoma rodhaini strain Burundi genome assembly, scaffold: SROB_scaffold0011033
CAGCUGACGAGUCCCAAAUAGGACGAAACGCGCGUCCUGGAU